rnacentral:rRNA from 1 species
AUUGAACGCUGGCGGCAGGCCUAACACAUGCAAGUCGAGCGAGCGGCGGACGGGUGAGUAAGGGAUGGUGACUGUCCGAAAGCGGGGGAUCACUACGGGAAACCGUAUCUAAUACCGCAUACUAUCGGAUAACCCAUAUGGGAUUAGCUAGUUGGGGAGGUAAUGGCUCACCAAGGCGACGAUCCCUAGCUGGCCUGAGAGGAUGAUCAGCCACACUGGGACUGAGACACGGCCCAGACUCCUACGGAGGCAGCAGUGGGGAAUAUUGCACAAUGGGCGAAAGCCUGAUGCAGCCAUGCCGCGUGUAUGAAGAAGGCCCUAGGGUUGUAAAGUACUUUCAGUCGGGAGGCGUUACCGAAAGAAGAAGCACCGGCUAACUCCGUGCCAGCAGCCGCGGUAAUUC